AAUGCGCGCCGUCCUAGGGGAGUAGUCUCCCGCGAGCGGCCUGCGGCCCUCGCCCGGCGCGCGUCAACAUACUUGGCCCACAGGCCAUGGCGCGUGCGACCCUCGGCCCGUCUCCCGGGCCGAGGGUU
rnacentral:sRNA from 2 species